rnacentral:rRNA from 1 species
GUGGGGAAUAUUGCACAAUGGGCGAAAGCCUGAUGCAGCAACGCCGCGUGAGGGACGACGGCCUUCGGGUUGUAAACCUCUUUUAGUAGGGAAGAAGCGAAAGUGACGGUACCUGCAGAAAAAGCACCGGCUAACUACGUGCCAGCAGCCGCGGUAAUACGUAGGGUGCAAGCGUUAUCCGGAAUUAUUGGGCGUAAAGAGCUCGUAGGCGGUCUGUCGCGUCUGCUGUGAAAACUGGAGGCUCAACCUCCAGCCUGCAGUGGGUACGGGCAGGAUAGAGUGCGGUAGGGGAGAUUGGAAUUCCUGGUGUAGCGGUGGAAUGCGCAGAUAUCAGGAGGAACACCGAUGGCGAAGGCAGAUCUCUGGGCCGUAACUGACGCUGAGGAGCGAAAGCGAGGGGAGCAAAUGGGAUUAGAAACCCCUGUAGUCC